AUGUGGUUGAGAUUUUUUUCAUUGUAUAGAUGCUUGUUCACAGUGCAGGAGGUUUUUGUACGGCCACUUAAUGAGUUUGUAUCACUGUGGUGGACUUUUGGUGGAGGAACCAAACUCACCGUUGACUUGGGUGUGGUGCGGCCCACCCUGACUGUCCUCCCCCCCUCCACAGAGGAGCUGCAGCAGGGCAGUGCCACACUGGUGUGUCUGGCCAGCGGGGGCUUCCCCUCAGCAUGGAGGCUGGGCUGGAAGGUGGGGGGCAGCAGCAGCUCCUCAGGGGUGUCACACAGCCUAGAGGUCAUGGGGAGGGACGGCCACUACAGCUGGAGCAGCACCCUGAGCCUCCCUGCAGACCAGUGGAGGAAGGCGGGCUCAGUGAGCUGUGAGGCCAGUCUGAAUGACCAGAGCCCUGUCACUCAAACUCUGGACCCUGACCGCUGCUCAGAGUAGAGCUUCAGCAACACUUCCUGUCUGGAAAUGAUGCUGCUUCUUUGAUACAGAUGGGUUGAUGAAGCUACAGAUCUCCUCUGUUCACAUAUGUCUGCAAGUUUCAUAGCUCUCUACUCAGUGUUAGUGUGCAUGUUGCUUUCUUAUACUGAUUUUCUGCAUAUUCUUCUUUGUGUCCUUAACUUUUCAAAUUAAACUGAAUAAUAUUUCACUCCAAGUGAAACUUUUCACUCAUCAAAAAUGUGGCAUGAAUAUUAAACCAUCAUUAAAUAAAGCUGUGUA